CCAAAAAUAGGUUAAACCGGAAUAAUUCAUUCGGUUUUCACCCUUCUUUGGGUCCUUUUUCCCCUUUUCCUCAAUCACUCAGGAAACUGGGAGGCCCCGGUCCCCGCCUACUGGGGUUACUGGUUUCGUGGACCACAUCCAGGAGAAGACCUUCCAUGGGCAGGUCCUAAUUAAGAGCUAAUUAGGGUUGGACUUAAUGAGCUUCGAGGUCCUUUCUGACCCUUCCGCGUCCUUCCAAGAGGUCCCGAGUCUUCUCCUGCCUCAGGAGGGGCUUCUCCACCACCUGGGAACCUCCUGGAGAUGCUCCUCAACCAACCCAACUGGGAAUCCCCUCCCCCCAACUGGGAAUCCCCUCCUCGGAGACCUCCAAAAACCUGGAUUUUCCGCAUUUUUGGGUGGAAAUCGAGGAUUUUGAAGGCCCCACCUCCAUCUCCUGCCCCGGGAAGUAUCUCAGAUGGUUCUUCUCCACACCCUUCCCCCCCCCAGUAAACCACUGGUGUUUCCGUGAGCCAGGUCUCCGCGGGGGGGACAACCCCGACCUCCUGGCCCAGUUGGAGGAAGAGGAGGAGGAGGAGGAGGAGGUUUGGAUUCCCAUCAUCCCCACCCCGGAGGAGGAGGAAGAGGAGGAGGAGGAGGAGGAGGAGCUGGUGAGGCCCCUCUUGAGGCUGCGGAGCAGGAGAAGGAAGCGCUGGAGAAGCUGCCGAGAGGCCGGAAGCUCCUCCUGGUCCAACUCUUCGCCUUCAGGUGAGGGAACCCCCCCCCCUUUUCCAAAAUGGAGACACUGGUGGAACUGGGAGGAGCUGGAAGGUUCUUUGGGGGGUGGGGGUGGUGAAGAACCCAACUGGGCACCACCAGGAGGUUCUCCUGGAUUGAGGGGUGAAAUCGGUCACUUUUUUUUUGGGGGGGGGGGGGUUGAGGUCUCCAUCGCCCCCCAAGUUCCCCACCCCCAGGCCGGUGGAUUCCCAGUUCCUCCCAUUUUCCCCCAGUAGAUGACGAGGGGUGGCCCAGCGAGACGGAGGAGGAGGAGGAGGAGACCUCCCAGGAGGAUGAUGGAACCUUCAGGAGGAGACCCAAAGGCAGCGUCUCCCCGGCUCCCCACCCCCCCAAGAACCCCUCGGGGGGGGGCAGGAGACCCCACCGGGGCAAAAAGGGGG
rnacentral:lncRNA from 1 species